rnacentral:rRNA from 1 species
AACGUAGGUGGCGAGCGUUAUCCGGAUUUACUGGGCGUAAAGGGUGUGCAGGCGGGCUGUUAAGUGGUGCAUGAAAUCUCCGCGCUUAACGUGGAGAGGCUGUGCCAGACUGGCAGUCUAGAGUACGAGAGAGGGUUGUGGAAGUUCCGGGUGGUAGUGGUGAAAUGCGUAGAGAUCCGGAGGAACACCAGAGGCGAAGGCGAGUCUCGUGGGCUGAUACUGACGCUGAGGCGCGAAAGCCAGGGAGCAAA